ACGGCUCAGUAACACGUGGAUAACUUGCCCUUGGGUCCGGGAUAACCCCUGAGAAAUUGGGGACAAUACCGGAUAGGGCAUCGAUUGCUGGAAUGCACGAUGUCCAAAAGCUGAGGCGCCCAAGGAUAGGUCUGCGGCCGAUUAGGUUGUUGUUGAUGUAAUGGAUCAACAAGCCUGCAAUCGGUACGGGUUGUGAGAGCAAGAGCCCGGAGAUGGGUUCUGAGAAAAGAACCCAGGUCCUACGGGACGCAUCAGGCGCGAAAACUUUACAAUGUGCGAAAGCACGAUAAGGGAACUCUGAGUGCCUCCUAUGGAGGCUGUUCAGGUGUCUAAAAAGCACUUGAAGUAAGGGCUGGGUAAGACCGGUGCCAGCCGCCGCGGUAACACCGGCAGCCCAAGUGGUAGCCACGAUUAUUGGGUCUAAAGCGUCCGUAGCCGGCCAGGUAAGUUCUUUGGGAAAUUUAACCGCUCAACGGUUAAGCUUUCAGGGAAUACUGCUUGGCUUGGGACCGGGAGAGGUCAGAGGUACUUCAAGGGUAGGGGUGAAAUCCGUUAAUCCUUGAGGGACCACCAGUAGCGAAGGCGUCUGACCAGACCGGGUCCGACGGUGAGGGACGAAGGCUAGGGUCGCG
rnacentral:rRNA from 1 species